GCCUCGGGAGCGAGCCGGGAGGGGGGAGCGGCAGGGGUCGCCCCUACCUGCCACCUGGAUCCUCUGGCUCCUGCCGGGGAGCGCUUCUUCUCUCCGAGGCAGCCUGGAGGCCGAGUCGCCCAUCCUGAAGGUCAAUCAGAGGUGAAUGACAGAAAAGCAGAGUAAUGUUUGGAUGUUCAGCCUCGCAGAUGAAGUGGCUGAGAUCUUCUGGAGCCCUGAUCUGCUCUGAAAUGCCAGCUGGUGAAAAGCCGGCAUCUCCUCCAGUCAAUGACCCCGGUGAUCCUGCUCCUGCCUGUGCAUCCUCCGUGCCAUAUCUGCUGUCCCUAUGUAUUUAAAUUAUGUACAUCUCUUAAAUAUCUGCAGAAGUGUCCUUUCUGUUAUAUUAAUUCUUACGGGAAAAAUUGCUUAGCUGCUUCAUCUGUGAGGCUGACAAUGGCAGAGCAGGGGAUUAAAAGAUUGGCGGGGGGACUCCAAAACAGUGGUUAGGGAAGUGACAGAUAGUGGGGCUGAUGCUGUACUUAGAUUACAGCUAUUACAGGCAGGAAACGGUCUUUCAUUCUGUGUUUGUGUGGCACUUUACACAGUGUGUUCCUGCUUCGUAACUGGAUCCUAAAUAUUAAAUAAUAAUAAGCCAUGAUGCCACUUAAGAAAUAAAAACAGCUUAUUUUCAGAACUGCUUAGUGCUUUUUGGCUCUGUGGAAACAGAAUACUUUUUUAAUUAGAUAAAUCCCACUUAAAAUUGAGGAAAAUAUGGACUAGCCCUUUCUCUCAUUGCACAGGUUAAGAUCUCAUUUAGAGAGUCUAAAAAUCACACUCUAACUUUAAAAGUUUUCUUGAUACAGAUUUACCAAUCCAAGCAAGCAGCAGAACCUGGGGUUUUUUUUUGUAAUAUAUUAUGCUUCCCACUUAAAUAUAGACUUUAUAUGUACUAACAUAUACAUUGAGUUCAAAAGUAUUGUAUAUCAGCCUAGACCAAGAUACCUAUACAAUUCUUGGAUUUGCCUGUACUAAUCACAGUAUUCCGAGUAUUUAGGAAACCAGUAUGAAGAAGCAAAAAGAUAAGUGUAUGGGGGAGAGAGGGAAGAAAAGGGACAUGGGCUUACCUGUGUCCUUUCAGCCAGGGUUCCUACAAAGAUUCCCAGUCAUCCUGGUAUAAUAACUUGCUCAAAAUAUGCACAGUUUUUUCCAGAACUUGAUAUGUAUAUAAGCCUUUCCUUUGCAGUCAAAUUUGCUGGCCUUUGUGUUUUAGGAUAGAUGUAUUUUUCCAGUGUAGCAGAAUUUGCUGUGACUUGGAACCAGUUAAGCUCUAUGUAACCAUCUCCUUGAUAAUACAUUUUUUAUAAAGCCAAGAGGAACAAUUUAGAUUUUGUGCUGCAGUAUGCAUAUCCUGGAAGAAGGAUCCUUUUUUAAUUUUAAAACAUACAGUGAGAGAAAAUCCUCUACAGGCUUUAGUAGAUUACUGUGCUUAAUUAUUGUUAAAAAUAUGUACCUUAUUUUUAGUUUAGCUUCAGCUCCCACCCAUUAAAUCUUAGUUUAGCUUCAUAGAAUGAAGAAACUUCUAUUACCCAGUUUUUAUUACCCACAGUUAUGGCUGUGGACUUUGGUCACCCCUCUUUGCCAAGAUAAACAGGACUCUUGGAGUUCAUCAGAAUGAAACGUUUUCUCAUCCUAUAGGUAUUCUCAUUGCCCUUUUCUGAACCUUCUUCAUUUUUUUCAGCUGACUUUUUUCCUUUUUUUUUUCUGCCCAGUCUAUCUGAUAAAGAUGUGGAUAAUGAAUACACUAUCGCAGUACUGUUUAAACCAAACUGAGUACAGACGUAAUGUAGUUUCCUGAUCCCCGCUUGGGAUUGCAUUCGCAUGUCCAAGGGCCACAUUAGACCUUCCUGCCUUGGAGGUACGCUACUGCGACUCCCAAGAGCUUUGCAGGAUGUAUGCCAAUGUGCAUCCCUCAUCCUGAAGAGUGAUGCAUGUCCUUUAUCCCUAUAAUUAUGCUCAGACUUGACCGUAUCUUUUGCACCCACGUUACUAACUCAUUCAGAGCACACUCUGGUGCAUCUCUAUCAGUCAACUGAAUAGUGCUGGGGCCUGUUCUUGGGACCUCAGCCUGGCUGGUGCAGCCUGGCCACAGCAAUGCUAUUAGAGUCCCUCUGUCUCCAAACAGUGUGGCCAUAUCCAGUCUGCCUGUGGGGAACUGUCCCUGGCCUGUGCCACCUCCCAGACUACAGGAAUCAUGUGGAAGAGUGCUACUCAGCUAUGGCAAAUAUUUAGAUUAUGGUAAAUAUAUAGAAGAUUAUGUCCCACGCGUAGUCCAUGGCACUGUUUAAAUCACUGGUAUAGACGUGCACCAAUGCUCCAUCUUUGUUACUACCACUCCCAACAGUUUUUGGGUGAGCUGCUAGCGGUUGGGAAUCAUUUUCCAUGUUCUUCCCCAUAAUUGAUAAAAAUGUCAAAUAAUAGAGCCUAGAACCAAUCCCUACAUGACAUAAACUAUAACAACACCAGCUCCAUGAUGAUUGCCUCACUGCAGUUACAUUUUGUGACUGGUCAGGUAACAAGACAUCUCUGAGAAAGCACCUUUUCUUCAGAUCAAACCCACUGUUUCCCGAGUUUUAACAAAAUGACAUUAAAAGGUGCUAAACAGGUUUUCCAGUCAAGGGAACUGGAGACUUUUCAGUGCCACAGUUCUUGUUGGAACCAACAGGCCUGAACUGCAUCUAUUACCCCAGAAAAAGAGCGAAGAAGAUAGUACAGUAAAGCAAUCUACAUGAAGCAGUUUCUAGAGAGAGGAGGAAAGAUUAAUCAGUCAUUCAUCUGCCUUCCAUUUGGGAUCUAGAUGAGCAUUUAGAUACAGAUUAAGCUACAUAAAUUAUACUAAAAAUGGAACUGACGUAGAAGAGCCAUCAGCACUGUACCUCAGAAUAAUGCAGUGACUUGGGAUUUACAGAGGGAUAUCAAAAACAGUGGGCAAUUUAACAGAGCAGAAUCUACCGUACAUGCCAGGGAGACAUGAAAAUGCAGGCAUGCAAGCAGCCUCUUUACGCACAUUCUUUGUUUAUCCACUGUGCUGCAGCAAUUACAGAAAAAAAGAGCUAAUGCAACAACCAAUCUAUGUGCAAGUUUGCUUAUUGUCAGGUUUGCUAUAAGCCCUACUUCUCUCUUUCCCUAGCUGGAGCUUCAGGCUGUCUCUUUACCUGGUCCCCAUCUGUUGGCACAAGCAAAGGUUGUGCAGACACCUGUAUUUCAGUGUCUGCACAUCACUGUCUCCUUGUGAAUCAGACUUUGAGCUCUCACGAUAGUCCCUGGAGAGCUGGUUCAUGCAGGACUUGGAUGUAAGUGCCUGGUAGCUUUUGCAGUGCCCUGGGGUGUAUCGCCUGGUCUCUAGGUGCUCCUCCAGACAGGCAGUGGCCUCACAAAUGGCCUGUGUCAUAUCUGCAAGUUCCAUGUGGGUGUCUUGGAUGCUGCAGAGCAUUUCAAAGAGCAGGCAGCACCUGUAUGGGGGCAGCUGAAUCAAGUCCUGCCAUCAACAGAGCAAUUCAGCUGACCAAGGGACUGCCUGUGUCAGCGUGAGCUCAUUCACUCCAGUUUCCAGGGUCUACUGAACAGAAAACCUUUGCCAGUCUUUGGAGAUCAGAUGCCCAGUGCAUAUGCAUGUGUAAACACUUACAUGUGGACACCUAAAAUGUCUCUGAAUCUUGAGCCAAAUCCUACCCAGACAAAAAAGCCAAAGGCCUCGAUGUGUCAGUUGUUAAACAGCUAUUCCCCGGGUUGUCUAUCACCACUAAGUUUAUUUCCAGCAGAGAUGCAAACACCUGCUAGAACUGAAUUAACACUUUGCAGCCAGGUAGCUCAUUGCCCAAGAUUUAGCAGCUAGCAGUUUGCAGAUAUCUCCUUCAAUGGUGUGGCUUCUCACAGCUCCAUAAAUUUCAUGGACUUAGAGAUGUUAGAGCAGCUGAGGCUCAGCCUGGGAGCUUUUAAAUCAAGAUUUCCUGCUGUGGUGAAAAAUAUUCUAUAGGUGUGUUUCCAAGUUCUGUGCUAAGUGCAUGAAUUACUGGGGUGCGUUCAGUGGCCUGUGCUGUACACAUCGGAUUGCCAUUAUCGUCCUUCUUUACUCAAAAUCUGAAAUUUCAACACAGAUCUCACCACUCCUUCAAAACCAUCAUGACACAGCCCUUCUCUCGCAAAACUGUAGCUUUCGUAGCAGAUUGCUCAAUAAAUAUCCUCUGUGUCGUUCA